AACGGGACUCAGCCCUUCGGGACUGAGUUUAGUGGCGAACGGGUGAGUAACGCGUGAGGAACCUGCCUUUCAGUGGGGGACAACAGUUGGAAACGACUGCUAAUACCGCAUAAUACUUUCGAGCGGCAUCGUUUGAAAGUCAAAGAUUUAUUGCUGAAAGAUGGCCUCGCGUCUGAUUAGCUAGUUGGUGAGGUAACGGCCCACCAAGGCGACGAUCAGUAGCCGGUCUGAGAGGAUGAACGGCCACAUUGGGACUGAGAUACGGCCCAGACUCC
rnacentral:rRNA from 2 species